rnacentral:rRNA from 1 species
UAACCUGCCUGGUAGCGGGGGAUAACUAUUGGAAACGAUAGCUAAUACCGCAUAAGAGUAGAUGUUGCAUGACAUUUACUUAAAAGGUGCAAUUGCAUCACUACCAGAUGGACCUGCGUUGUAUUAGCUAGUUGGUGGGGUAACGGCUCACCAAGGCGACGAUACAUAGCCGACCUGAGAGGGUGAUCGGCCACACUGGGACUGAGGCACGGCCCAG